rnacentral:rRNA from 1 species
CAGCCGCCGCGGUAAUACAGAGGGUGCGAGCGUUAAUCGGAUUUACUGGGCGUAAAGCGUGCGUAGGCGGCUUUUUAAGUCGGAUGUGAAAUCCCUGAGCUUAACUUAGGAAUUGCAUUCGACACUGGGAAGCUAGAGUAUGGGAGAGGAUGGUAGAAUUCCAGGUGUAGCGGUGAAAUGCGUAGAGAUCUGGAGGAAUACCGAUGGCGAAGGCAGCCAUCUGGCCUAAUACUGACGCUGAGGUACGAAAGCAUGGGGAGCAAACAGGAUUAGAUACCCCUGUAGUCCCUGUCUCUUAUAC